rnacentral:misc_RNA from 1 species
GCCGACCGUACGCAUGUCGAGAUUCAAAUGGAAGUUUAACAACAAUCUCUUCGUGCUUAGACUCCAGGUAGCUGUGUCGAUUUGAUCACGACCGGGGUGGCAAUCGAAAAACUGGACAAUCAUUUUUUCGCCAUCAGAAAUAAGGUUUCAUCGUCGGUGUAACUCGAUUGGUCGCUUGAUUGCGUGUCAUCGAAUAGUUUCAUUUUCUUAAAUGUGAUACACAUUACAUCACACAUGCGAUGUAUCCAACGAUAAUAUAUAGGGC